GAUGAACGCUGGCGGCGUGCUUAACACAUGCAAGUCGAACGGGAAUUAUUUUAUUGAAACUUCGGUCGAUUUAAUUUAAUUCUAGUGGCGGACGGGUGAGUAACGCGUGGGUAACCUGCCUUAUACAGGGGGAUAACAGUCAGAAAUGGCUGCUAAUACCGCAUAAGCGCACAGAGCUGCAUGGCUCAGUGUGAAAAACUCCGGUGGUAUAAGAUGGACCCGCGUUGGAUUAGCUUGUUGGCAGGGUAACGGCCUACCAAGGCGACGAUCCAUAGCCGGCCUGAGAGGGUGAACGGCCACAUUGGGACUGAGACACGGCCCAGACUCUACGGGAGGCAGCAGUGGGGAAUAUUGCACAAUGGGGGAAACCCUGAUGCAGCGACGCCGCGUGAAGGAAGAAGUAUCUCGGUAUGUAAACUUCUAUCAGCAGGGAAGAUAGUGACGGUACCUGACUAAGAAGCCCCGGCUAACUACGUG
rnacentral:rRNA from 1 species